rnacentral:rRNA from 1 species
AAUCAACGCUGGCGGCGUGCCUCAGACAUGCAAGUCGAACGCGAAAGUCUCCUUCGGGGGAUAAGUAGAGUGGCGCACGGGUGAGUAACACGUAGGUAAUCUACCUUCGGAUGGGGAAUAACAACCGGAAACGGUUGCUAAUACCGCAUAAUGCAGCGGCACCUAAUGGUGACAGUUGUUAAAGCGGGGGAUCGAAAGACCUCGCGUCUGAAGAGGAGCCUGCGGCGGAUAGCUAGUUGGUAGGGUAAUAGCCUACCAAGGCGACGAUCCGUAGCCGGCCUGAGAGGGCGGUCGGCCACACUGACACUGACAUACGGGUCAGACUCCUACGGGAGGCAGCAGUCGGGAAUUUUGGGCAAUGGGCGAAAGCCUGACCCAGCAACGCCGCGUGAAGGAUGAAAUCCCUCGGGA